UUGAACGGUCCUUUAAAAUAGACAAUUUCAAGAAUUGAACUCAGAUUCUUUUUCUCGGAUUAUUCAUUCAUCUUUUGUCAUUUUAUCAUUCAAGGGUUGCAUAAUGUUAAUAGAAAAAAUAAAAUAAUAUAUUCAUUAUAAGUCUAACUGUGACAAAUUAGAAGCUUAACCAAAAGAGGAUUAUUAAUAUUAAAAAUAAUACAUGGUUUAAUUAAAAUUACACUUAACCUUUGUAAACAAUGAAAUCCCAGUAGCACUGGGCACUGCCAGUGUGCCUGAAAAGGCAAUUAACAACAUAACAUAAUAGAAGCUGGAGAGUAAUUCUAGUCUGCAGUGUCAAUCUGACAUGACUCCUUCUUUGGCAUAUUCUCAGUAGCAGAAAAUAGAUUCUUAAUGGAAUUCAAAAAAGGAAAAUGGUCCCUAACUAUGAAAAUGAUAACAUCAAGAUAAUGCUUAUUUCAUUAUGGCAAACAUGUUUAAAAGCAGUGAGACAAUUACAAGGGAAGCACUAGCACUAUAGCACACAUACAGAGGCUUUUGUACAAAAUAUAUGUAAAGGAAUCUAUUAAAAAAGUGAAAACCCUUUAUUUUCUAAGACCUUUUUAUUACUACAUUUGUCUAUAAAAUAUAUAAAACAUUGUUGAUUAUGUUAAGCUGAUUUUGAAGUUGUUUUAGUCUUAUAUUUUUCAGGUUCUUGGACUAUUGAAUGCAUAAAUAUGUUUGGGAUGAGAUAUAAGUUCAUUUAACAUUUUAACAUGGUAUCAGAGUUAAGUUAAGGAUUACAAUGUGAGAAUUGGACUUAGACCCACACCACGCUAGACUUGAGGAUAGGUGUUGAAGUUGAUUUUGAAAUUGUAACUUGUAGUUUGUUUCUAGUCUCACAUUGCUCAGAUUCCUACAUUGUUGAAUGUAUAAACGGAUGAGA
rnacentral:lncRNA from 1 species